UAACCUCUCUUUUGUUUGAGCACCUCCAUAGCACUUUGUCAUCACCUGUACCAGGGGACCAUGCAGCUCCAGCUGGCAGCAGUGACAGGCUCCUCAGCACUUCAUUCUAUUGGCUGAGAUUAAUAGUGGACUCUUUGGCCAGGGCCAUCUCUUCCUCUGACAGGCAUUCUGCUGGCUUCUUCUGUCGCUGCUGACACCUGAUACAAUACUGCAGGAACACUACAUGAUGGAGGAACUAAUGGCCCUGUCGUCUAAUGUGGACCAGCUGGCAGGGUGUGUGUGUCUGGCAAUAGGACCAGAAGAGUCUGAAAGUAGGAGUACAGAUACAGGAUCAGUUUUUCAUUUUAGAUCAUAAUGAUUAAGAUUAUAUGGUCAGGGGAGAUCUGAUCCUAGAUCAGCACUCCUACGCUGAAACACUUUUUGACUAUGGGCCCAGUGCUGGUGUGUGCUGAGGUAACCUUGGCUUUGGAUGAUGAUAAUGCAGUCUGCUGAUCAGCCAGCACAUGCAUCUGUUUAAUUACUCUCAGCCUUAAUUGUGUGUAGAAGAAUUUAAUUAGCAAAGUCUGUGGCCAGCAUAAUGCUCCAGAAUGUCCAUACACACACACACAUACAGAGAGAGAGGUUCCCCUGCCUGCAGAUGGUAAGGGUUCAGGAGAGACAGGAGAGGGCCUGCUCUGUAUAUCAUGGUGAGUUUCACAACAUGUUGUGGGAGGAAUGACUUCUUCAUUACAGAGCUCAUUACUCAUCUUGGAAUAUGCAAAUAAGAUUGGAAAGAAUUAAAACUCUCCACUCAGAGGUCUGUAUUGACAAUAAGGGUAAAUCUUUGUCUACAGUAACUCAUUCAGAAGCCCUGCUGCUGACCUGUUCAUCAGCAUGUUGAGAAGGAUAUUACUUAGGACCUGUGGGGGGACACUGAAUGGUUUUCAACCACCAAUAAAUAACAAAAUAUAUUGUCUUUAGUUUCUCUCAUAUCAUUGAUUGCGUUGCACUCAAUAUGCUGUCAAAUCGAGUUGUAAAGUGAUUCAAUAUUUCACGGGACUGUAAAAACAGAAUGAGCUCAUGGUAUGGGAACCAAGAAGCACAGGUUUACAUUCAUACAGUA